UUAUGUUUCGUUUGGUAAAAGUAACUGGAUGGAGAAUCAUCGUUCCUUUUGUCAAAGAGAGUUAGUGAAAAAAAAAAUGUGAAAAACCGAGGAGAUUGUAUAACCUGUAAUCUCACGAAGAGGAUUCUCGAUUGGAAAAGGCCUUUGCUUGACUUUUUCCAUCUUACACGUGUUUUCUAUAUACGAGGAGAAAACUUUUCCAUAGGCGACGAUUAAAUAGUGUGACAUCUGACCUGGAGGAUCAGAAAGUUUUCAACUGCUGACGAGAACUCUUUGGGGAUCGCGAAAUGAGAACUUGCGGCUAGUUCGACUACGUUCGGCUUCGCUCGGCUUUGCUCGGGACUUGGCUCGGCUCACGAUCGGCUCAACUUCACUUGGUUUCCUCUGACAAUCUAUGAGCGCAGCUCGCGGAAUUUCAUUAGCAUCGAGCGGAACGGGAGAACUGUCCAAGUCCACAGUGCGUCCUAGGACUUCUUUGCGGUACGAGAAAUCCCCCCGUCAACUGGAAUGCUUGUCUCAGGGCGGAGCAGACAUUUUUAACUGGAGCGAGAGACACACCCGGACGAAGUAGCUGCUACUUCGAAAGUGGAAAAUUCGAACUGGCUCAAAGUGGGCGGAAUGGUGGACGGUCAAUCGAUUCUUCGAGAACGAAGGAGAGGGAUCGUUUAUUGGAAAUAUGCGUUUGCUGGGAAAUUGGCAGCGUCAAGAUUUUCCAAUAGUUUUCAGACGAGGUUAUGUCUGAAGGUUUGGCAGAUACAUUGCGUUAAGCUCUUUGCAAGUGGUCAGUGCGAAUGCGAAGAUCCAAUUUGCCGACGGGCGGGAUUGUGGCCGGCAAACGUUCGCUAACGUCCCUCAUUCCAAAGUCCAUUACGGAUUCCGUGGAAUUAUGCCGAUUAGCUGGGAUCUCGGAAUUUACAGAAGACUAACGCCCAUCAUCAUGAAAUUUCAUCUCAUGAAAAUAAUUAAAACCCAUGUCGUUCUGUCAGUCGUUCCUGAACUCCCACAUGACACCAGUAAGCCCUAGAGAGAAUUACCUUCGGUCAAAACAGACAUUGGUCCAUUGAAUAACCUUAAAAAUGCCAAGUGAGCCAUUUAAGAGCAAAAGGCGCAAUAAUGUCCUAAUGAAAAUUAUCCGACUUUAUUGCGGAGAAAUCGAUCAGCAAUUCCAACUUAAUUUUCACCCUACGCGGCGCACGUUAAAUACGGUACUUUAUAAUGAUACUUGCUUCGUCAUUGCAGCAAUUAUUAAUCUGUUUGGACAAUGACAAUAAAUAUUAAAUUCACCAAACCUGGCACAGCUUGUCAACCUCUGGCUAUGGACUUUAACCUGGUUCUUGUUGCUGGUUAUUCGGCUGGAUCUCUCAUGAUUUUACAGCAUCGCUCUGGAUAUCACGGAAACGUUAUUAUACUAUUUUGCUAAUGUUAUUGUUGCAUUACAACUUCCAAUUAGCAAUGCGGUGAACACGCCGGAGGCACUAACAAAGACCGAUACUAACUAAAUUUAUAUGGUUCCACUGUGUGACCAAUAUGCACGUCCUGUCAUAAAGCAACUUGACGAUCGAGCGUGAUCUACGUGUUUAUAGCGAUAGGAGUUCUCGUGAAUCGAAGAAAUUUAUUCCCUACCACGUAACAGCGACGCGUUUACUUUUACGAGUGACGGAAAUAGGCAAAAAAAAAAGAAGAAAAUCCUGCCAAUCCUUCUGAAUCAUUUGAGUAAAUCGAGACGCUUCUCUUGUGCCAAAAUUUCCCUGCGGAGCAAAGCAGCCGUAUAGCCUAAAUCUACGUGAAACCACAAUACACAAUGAUAUAAGACAUUUUCCAAAUAACGGCUAUUAUAUUCAGCAACGGAGCCUUGAACGUGCGUCACGACCCCUUGGAUUACACAGGCUGUUGCUUUAUGAGUUUGCACGUUUGUGAAGAUUCGCCAUGGAACUCCAAGCGUCGGAACGGCUUCUGCUCCUUCAUCCCUUACACAAGGAUGUGUAAAUUUCUCUAUAUCAAAUCGAGAUAUAUCUUCCAUAACUAAUUUUCAUUCCUCCGGAGUUCAAGAUUGUGUAUACUUAGCUUCAUAGCUACCCAGUGGUUGUUCUAUUUAUUAUAUUCAACGAUCAAGAUACAGACUAUAGUAUAGAAAUAUAUGGUACAGGAUCAGACAACAAGCCAUGGAUUGUUGUUUGUUCGCAGCUACAAAGUUUAUCGGUUUCUCAGCGAUUUCUCAAAGUUCCUCUUAGGCUCCUGAUUUCGCUGAAGCCAAGAACCCAGGACUCGCCUCUCUCUGAUCCCCCGGGAAUUCCUUUGGGAACUUUCCGAUAUUCAUAUCUGCUCGCUACUACAUGAAAAAUUCCAAGCUCGCCUCUUCCCAUCCUUGGCUCCUCCAGUUAUAAAGGAUUCGCAGCCACUUACAAUAUCAGCAGAAUCCCCCUUUUCUUACUUGGCGCUAGGAUCCCUCUCUGCCACCACGCUGACGCCCUUGAUAUGGACGCUACGGAUCGCUCUGAUCCUACCAUCCAAUUGCCAUUUCUUUUUCGGCUUCCGGCGUCCUCGCGCUUCUUCGGAUUAACCAGUUAUGAGCUAUUAGGUUCCUAUCGACUACUUCACUUUAUAACCAUUUUUAGUUUUCAAUCGCCUCCUCUUCUCUCUUUCAGUCUGGCUUCCAUACCUCAGCCGACAAGCACCAGGAAGUCAAACAUUUUUUGAUGCCCAUCUACGUGCAUUCACAUUCUGAAUACUUGAGUAGGCGGAUAAUUGAGGUUUCCGAAAGUGGGCAAGUUGCGGUGCGAACGUCACGAUUUACCGGGCUUCCAGAAUGGGCCAUUAACUUGAAUAAUCAUUGUGGUCAUAUUUGUGGGAAAGGGUUUGCAUAGAUGCAGUUUAUACGUAGGACCACUAAUGUAUCUGGGACAGCUAUCGCGCGGGGUCAGCCAUGCGGAUUUAGCUUGGCAGAACUAUUAUCUCCAUCCUAGGAAUCACAUGGGCACUCCUGGACGUGAAGUAUUCUUUUCCUCGUAAAGCUCAGUUUUAACUGAUGGAACCUAUCGGAAGAGACGACUUAACGGAUCCUGUAGAUUUUUGGGGUCGCGUAAAAUCAGUAAACGCAACUGGAUGUACGAACGGAAGCGAACGGUUACGGAAAUG